CCUACGGGUGGCAGCAGUGAGGAAUAUUGGUCAAUGGGCGCGAGCCUGAUCCAGCCACGCCGCGUGAAGGAUGACUGCCCUACGGGUUGUAAACUUCUUUUAUAAAGGAAUAAAGUGAGGCACGUGUGCCUCUUUGUAUGUACUUUAUGAAUAAGGAUCGGCUAACUCCGUGCCAGCAGCCGCGGUAAUACGGAGGUUACGUGCGUUAUCCGGAUUUAUUGGGUUUAAAGGGAGCGUAGAUGGGUUGUUAAGUCAGUUGUGAAAGUUUGCGGCUCAACCGUAAAAUUGCAAUUGAUACUGGCAGUCUUGAGUACAGUUGAGGUAGGCGGAAUUCGUGGUGUAGCGGUGAAAUGCGUAGAUAUCACGAAGAACUCCGAUUGCGAAGGCAGCUUACUAAACUGCCACUGACAUUGAUGCUCGAAAGUAUGGGUAUCAAACAGGAUUAGAUACCCUAGUAGUC
rnacentral:rRNA from 1 species